rnacentral:rRNA from 1 species
AUGGCGACCUCGGACACAGGCGAGAAGAAGAUGAUCAUGCUCAAGUUGUCCGACGGCAAGGAGUUUGACGUGGAGGAGGUGGUCGCCAUGGAGUCGCAGACCAUCCGCCACAUGAUUGAGGAUGACUGCGCUGACAAAGCCAUCCCGAUCCCCAACAUCAACUCCAAGAUCCUCUCCAAGGUCAUCGAGUACUGCGACAAACAUGUCCCGGCCAAGCCAGGCAACGUCGCCACUGGAUCCCCCGGAGCCGCUGCAUCUAACACCGUGUCUCCUGCCGCCCUAGCAGAGGACCUCAAGAUCUGGGACGCAGAAUUCAUCAAGGUCAACCAUGCCACCCUCUUCGACCUCAUCCAGGCAGCAAGUUACCUCAAGAUCAAGGGGUUGUUGAACCAGACUUGCCAGAUUGUUGCCGACAUGAUUAGGGGCAAAACUCUGGAGGAGAUCCGUAAUUUCUUCAACAUCAAGAAUGACUACUUGCCAGAGGAGGAGGAGAAGAUCCGCAGGGAGAACCAGUGGGCAUUUCAGUAG